UCUCCUCCGCUAAUGCGCUCUCUCUCUCUCUCUCAAAAAUGAAGGUGAAAAAAUUUUUAAAUAACAGAUAUAAAGGAAAGUCACAAAACUGCUCCAAAUCGCUUAGUUCUGGGUGUGCAAAGAAAUGCAUUUGAUUGAUUACAGGCCCGAGAGACUUUGGGAAACAAGCGGGACACUACUUUCAGAGCUGAGACAUUUUCACAGCUGGGUUUUUCCUUCUAAGCAAAGCAGUCAACCGUAAGUGUGGCAAAGCUAGGCAAGACCCGCGUGCGGGUAAAAGCGGAUGAACAGAACCUUCAGGACGGUCUGGAUCACCUGGGCCCGGCAAGGCUCCCGGAGGACAUGUGUCUGCAAGGCUCUCCCGGAGGAAGCCAUCGGCCCAGGGACGCCCAGUGUUGCUAUGGCAACAUCAAAGGAGGAAAGAAAAACUUGGCCUACGGAUUUCCUGUAGGUGUCAGAGCAAGAACGAGUCCUAGGAGACACGAAUAAGCAGUAAGCAGGGGGACCUGCAAAUUCUACCUCUGUGUUUUCUGCUGUGUCAUCUGAGCCCUCCCACCCCACCUCCCUCACCCCUGCACAGCCGCGGGGUUUGGCGUCGGGCCGCGGGGCCGCGGUUUGUUCCGAAAUGGAUUUAUACCAUUUAUCCUGGGACAGGCCAUCAGAAGCCUCACACCUGACCGUCCCUUUGUCCUGGGGUCUUAGAAUCUGUGUCAGGUUCCUUCCAGGGCAACAGUUAACUCUGUUUUGAGGUCACCUCCGCGGAUACAAUGUUACUCUCUUGUGAGAGAAAGGAAGUCGAUCCGUUUAGGAGUUGGGGGAGAAGACUGGGUGGCUUUGAGCUUCUGCCGACUUGGGACAAAAGGCACUUUCUGGGCUCUUCGUUCUCACUGAUCACCCCUGCCCGGGCUCACGGGUAGACCUGUAUUGGUAACACACCAGAAUAUUCUAGAAGACUCUCUAUACACCAUAUACUUAACUAUGCACCGGGGACUUGCUACAUAGGAGACCACCAGGCACCUACACAUGCAGGCACGCGUGCGCGCGCGCGCACACACACACACACACACACACUGUGGCUGAUAGCGGCCCCUGAAAACACAGCACUGACUGACAAGUGAGGAAGAGAAGUGCCUAAUAGUUGUGUUCCCACAGCAUGGGCGGGCUCUGGCAGGGCAGAGUCUCUGGCCGGACUGUGUGGGGCAAGGGGGCUCGUGCAUGUCCCUCAGAUGGCACUACCCACGUCCGCUCACCUCUCCUCCUCCCCGUCCUCUUGUGCCCACCUUCCCUAGGUGCUGAGAGGACUCGACUCACAAGCCGGAGGAGACGGCGCUCCGAGGCCUGCUGCCCGCACCCGUCUUCAGGCUCCAGAACGUUCAGAGUAACAAAGGCAAAGUGAGGAAGCCCAGCCUGCCUGCUGGUGGGGGGGCCGUGGCUCUGCUUCCCUUUUGCUCUUUUCUUUCACACCCCCUCUGAAGAGCGGCAGAGGCUGGGAGAGCCACCGGCCACACCAGAUCGAGGAGGUCACCAGGGAGGGCCCAUCCCUGGAGCAGAUCAAGCUGAAAAGAGGAGCCUGGGUGAGGGGGACAGGAGGCGACAGCCAGACGGUGAGAGCCGCUGGGCCGAUGAAGGCGGGGCUGGUCCGGGGGCCAAACUCUGAAGUCAAUCUUAUUCGGGGCCCUCACCUUUCUUAAGCGCCCCAGUGUUCCCAAGAUGGCUUCCACUGGCCUGCCCUCUGGAUCCAGACCUUUCUCUCUCAUUCUCUGCCUUCAAAAGAUACCUGUUCUGAGGUAAACUUCACCUGUUUUUUCCCUUUCUCCUUCUCAGCUUCUGCCUCUUUCUCUGAAAAAAAAAAAAAAAAUCUGUGCUGAGACUUUAGCGAGUGAUAACGAAUUAAUUAGUAAACUUUCUCAAAUAAAAUAUUUACAUUUUUGAAAGGAGCCAAAGCAAAGGUAGAACUUCAAAGGAAGCUGCUAAAAUCGCCUUCCGGCCACCCGUGUGUCCCCCAGAACGGACCCAUCACCGUGACAUCAAGUCAGUGGGGACCCCCACUCUAUGCCUGGCGCCCUGAAGCUCCCAUGUUGAUGACCCCCAGAGAAGGUCUGAAGGUCUGAAGGUCUUUUCUUCGCAAAGGAAUUUGCCACCUGUUUGUGGCGGUCCCUGAAUUCUGUCGGACGGCUUCUUCAUCAAAAACACUCGUGGUUCCUCAUUAGCCUGGGUUGCCUCUCUAAAGAUAUUCCUGAUUAAAAUCACACUUGUGCCAUGCACUGUGUAAGGAUACAAAAAUAGAAGACGACAUUUUGGAAGUGCGUACUGGGGACGGUUGCACAACGUCGUGAAUGGAAUUAAUGCCGCUGCGUGAUAGAUUUUAAAAUGGCUAAACUGGAAACGUUUGUUACGUGGAUUCUACUGCAAUAAUAAAAAUGUUUUACCAAAAAAAAAAAAAAAAAAAAAACACAACCCCAAACAACCACACUGAGUAAGAUAGUCCUGGUCCUCGGGUUCCUCAUGGUCUAGUUGGGAGGACCAAAACGUGCAAACAAAGGUGUGAUUGGUGAGAAGGUAGGAUAUAAAAAGGGAUGCAAAGGAGGAGGCUGUGAAAGAAAUGUAACCUUUUAUUUGCUUUUGUGCGUUCUGUGUUUUAGUGGCGGUGUUAGGGGAGCCCGCUAGACCCGAGGCUUCCGUGAUGAGCAAUGCUACUCCAGAAGCCAAAGGCGUAGGCUCCCCUCAAAUGUUGGAUUCCGCAACAACGCGGGUCCUAAUGUUGGACCCACGGGAGAAACUGUGCCUAGUGGAGUCCUAAGUCCAGUUGUUGUCUCCACUGUCAUUCACUCCUCCUACCCAGGGCCCGGAAAGGAUGAGACUGGAGAGGCACGUAGGGUGUGAAAUCGAAGGAGCCAUUUAUGCUCAUGGUCAAGUGCCGACAGGGGAAGCAGCGACCUCCGUAACAUGUCCACAUGUCCACAGACCCAUGGAUCUUGUACAUCUUUGCAUCUCCUAAAACCAAUAUCAAGUGGAGCACAGAGACAGCACGCGGCAAAUGGUAGCAUGCUUUGGCAAGCAUUUCAAAAAUAAAUGAAGUUAUUUAUUCCACCACGUCCCCUAGGGACGAGCUCUUCA